GUCAUUUAAAGCAUACUGAAAAAAGUGAACAGCACAUUCCAGGGCCCAGUUUAUGGCAGGGCCCCUCUCUGACCACAAUAGUGGACAAAGGUUUGUUACAUUUUGAUUGGAUCUUGGUGGAUUAACAUAAGCAAACUGUCCAACUCCACCAGAUAAAGAUGCCAGGACAACAGCCUUAUACCUCUUAGAGGGCAGGAGGACAACCUUUGUUACAAAGCCCGGGAAGGACAGGACUUCUCAUUGGUCAAAAUGCAGUUUCUGCGCUUCACCCACCAACAGACUGAUUCCUAAAGUUUUAGCCGGUGACCUCCAUAAAAAUUCCUUAGGACCUCUGGACGCAGCAACAGUGGGUGAAACAGAGAGAUCACAGAGUUACACCCAAAUCCAUUCAUAUCUAUGUUCUCAAACCUUAAAUUGAUGCAAACUAAAACAUACACAUCUUAUACUUAUUCAGAGAAAUAAGUAUUCUCAGUGACAGCAAUGUGUAAUGUAACAUCUUACACAAA